rnacentral:rRNA from 1 species
CCUACGGGAGGCUGCAGUGAGGAAUAUUGGUCAAUGGGCGCGAGCCUGAACCAGCCAAGUCGCGUGAGGGAUGAAGGUUCUAUGGAUCGUAAACCUCUUUUGUAAGGGAAUAAAGUGUGGGACGUGUCCUAUUUUGUAUGUACCUUAUGAAUAAGGAUCGGCUAACUCCGUUCCAGCCGCCGAGCUAAUACGGAGGGUCCGAGCGUUAUCCGGAUUUAUUGGGUGUAAGGGGUGGGUAGGCGGCAUGUUAAGUCAGCGGUGAAAGUCUGUGGCUCAACCAUAGAAUUGCCGUUGAAACUGGGGGGCUGGAGUAUGUUUGAGGCUGGCGGAAUGCGUGGUGUAGCGGUGAAAUGCUUAGAUAUCACGCAGAACCUCGAUUGCGAAGGCAGCCUGCCAAGCCAUGACUGACGCUGAUGCACGAAAGCGUGGGGAUCAAACAGGAUUAGAUACCCUUGUAGUC